AAUGGCAGCCAAAUCACCCUGCAGCCCAAGACUAGUUGCCCACUAAGCUAAGCAGGGUUGAGCCUGGUCAGUACCUGGAUGGGAGACCUCCUGGGAAAACUAGGUUGCUGUUGGAA
ensembl:rRNA 5S_rRNA 5S ribosomal RNA